rnacentral:lncRNA from 12 species
GCUCCCCGCGGGGGCACGGACGCGGGCAGAGCUGGGCACGGCAGGGUGUAGCUCGGGGCUGGUGGCCCGGCGCGCGAGCUCACGACAGCGCCCCGGGCAGCAAGCGCCGCCGCUGCGCUCCAGUCCGACGCCGCCCCCGUCCUCCCCUCUGCUCUCGCCGCCGCCGCCGCCGCCACCGCCGCCGCCGCCGCCUUCCUCCGCCGCCUCCGCCUCCUCCGCCGCCGCCUCCUCCUCCGCCGCCGCCGCCGCCGCCUUCCCCGCCGCCGCCCCGGCCAGCGCCGCGCGCGAGAGGACAGCCCGGGCUCCCGAGCGGACCUUCAGCGGCGCCCGCCCGCCCACGGGUAUAUGCCCUUUCCUUUCGCAUCGGAGCCCCCAAUGUUUGUUCUCCCGACAACCUUAGACAUUCUGCAGCCAGGGAGGGCCUCUGUACCCAACAGGCGGAGGGCUCAGUCUGUGAAUAUCCUGUAAGUGUCGGGAAUGCACACCUGGUACCUCUCCGCUGGUAUCCACAGCUUAACGAAGUAAAUAGAAGAUGUCAAGGAGGAAUACGAUAUUGGUGGCCCAAUCCACAGUUCACUGCGACCUGCACACCUCGAAGCUUUGUUGGAUUCUUCAGAUGCUGAUUGCAUUGCAGAUGAAGCUUCAGAUCCUCGUCCUCUCCUUAAACAUGCUCUAGCAUUUUUGUCAUCGCUUGCAUUUUACUUUCACGUGGCAAACACUUUGUACAGCUUACUGAGAAGUAGGAACACCCCACGGGGCCGGCCACGCAGGGCACCCCUCUGGUCCCCCUCAGAGAGAUCCUGUGAGGAGAGUACUCUGCAGGUGGCCUCUGGCUCCCACAACUUCAGAUCUGUUCUGGUGUUCACAUCAGGGCCGCAUUCUGCCCAGAACGCCCUCUCCAAAGUAAAAAGCAACCAGCUGCGUCUUGUGGGAUCUACUACAAAAAAGGUAGCCCUCUUGUGUCCCGGAAGCAACACAGAUCAUACUUAGAAAGUGCUGCAGCCUAUGUGAUAAGUGACAUGGAUGGAAGAAGCUACCAGCACUGAGAGGGCUCAGAGCAGGGAAGAGUUUUGCAGGAAGCCCCGGCUGUGCUGCAAACACUCUGCUUCUUGGACCAUACAAUCAAGCAGAUCCUUUGUUGUGGGUGUUUGGUGUCAGAGGUGAGAAAAGGUACAAUAGGGAGAUGAUGGCAAGCCCCAGCGGAAGAAUCACAAUGCAGGUCUAUGGGGGAUCUGAAGCAAGGCUGUAUUCUCUGCAAAAGGGAACUGUCUCUUUUUUGAGAAUCAGUGCUUGGUAAGCUGCCUGACCUUGGUAGAAAAGGAAUGCUUGACCAUAGGACACCAAGUGACCAGCCAUCUAGAAUUUCCCAUUAUAAGCUCAGUCUUGUUGAACCUGCCAAGACAAAUUCAAAAGGACCCAAAGCAGUGUACUGUAGGUUGGACACGGCAUAUCCAGAAUCAGUCUGAGUGGGAACAGAGGGCAUGAGUAAGCUACCAGAACUGGUUGCCCAGUCCCUCAUGUUCCCUGGUGUUGCACUAAGCACCUCUUCCUUAGCUCUCACCUGGGGGAGGAUUGAGGUUCUGCACAACCAGCUGAAAAAGGAAGAGAAGCCUGCAUUUGCUU